rnacentral:rRNA from 1 species
GCAAGUAUCCGCGUGCCAGUGAGUACGCCUCAGGUACCCUAAUCCUAGGUCGAUGAGAGCAGGCAUCAGGCACACCAUCCCCGUAGCCCAAGACGCCCAGCAUUUGCCACGCCCACACGGGUUAUCAGCAGUAGUUAAUAUUAAGCCAUGAGUGAAAACUUGACUUAGUCAUAGCAAUUUAGGGCCGGUAAAUCCUGUGCCAGCCACCGCGGUCAUACAGGAGGCCCAAAUCAACUUUACUAGACGGCGUAAAGUGUGGUAGCAUGUUAUCCAAGUAACUAAGAUUAAAAGGCAUCUGAGCUGUCAUAAGCCAAAGAUGCUCAUAAGGCCACUAUUCAAAGAAAAUCUUAGACUAACGAUCAAUUGAAAUCCACGAAAGCCAGGGCCCAAACUGGGAUUAGAUACCCCAUUAUGCCUGGCCGUAAACCUUGAUGCUCGAUCUAACCGGAGCAUCCGCCAGAGAACUACGAGCACUAACGCUUAAUACUCUAAGGACUUGGCGGUGUCCCAAACCCACCUAGAGGAGCCUGUUCUAUAAUCGAUGAUCCACGAUUCACCCUACCAUUCCUUGCCCCAAAUCAGCCUAUAUACCGCCGUCGCCAGCCCACCCACCGUGAAGGACCAAUAGUGGACGCAAUGGCCCUAUUUACGCCAGUACGACAGGUCAAGGUAUAGCCUAUGGAGUGGGAGUAAUGGGCUACAUUUUCUAGAAUAGAACACCACGGCAAAGGGAUAUGAAACUGUCUCUUGAAGGCGGAUUUAGCAGUAAAGAGGGAGCAUCGAGCCCUCUUUAAGCCGGCUCUGGGGCAUGUACAUACCGCCCGUCGCCCUCCUCAAAAGCGC